CAGGGGAUCUUCCCAACCCAGGGAUCAAACCCAUGUCUCUUACGUCUCCUAUACUGGCAGGCAGAUUCUUUACCAUGAGCACCACCUGGGAAGCCUAGAAUUUUUUUUUUAAUAGUUAUUAGGUCAUUAACUCAUCCACUCCUUCCUAAUCUAGAAAGUACAUACCAACAACAUCAUGUUAUAUAUAGGGAAAAUAGAGAAAGGGGGAAAACUGAGGCUCACAAAGUUCUAUCAGUUCUAACCCAGAACUAAGAUUCUUUAAACAUCCUACUCUACUAUACUAUUUUAGUAGUACUCAAAAAGAUUCUAUUUAAGCACAGAUUAAUUUAUUUUUCAUUUAAAAAAAAAGUAUUAUAUCUCUAAAAAACCCAGGUAAGUCUGGUCUGAAGCCUAUGUCUCAAUCACUAUGAUAUUUGUUAAAAAGAAUGAAUGACAUGCCAUGGUUUAUUAUACACUGAGUCAGGAUAUAUACAUAAAUUAUUAACUAUUCAAUAUACUGAAAACAUUACUUAAGAAAAAGACAAAACUAGGAACAAAGAGUCUUAUAAAGAUACUUUACAGACCCAAAAAGUCCAACCAAAAGAGUAACAAUAGCUGAUAGAUACCAUUCCAAAGUUUUUAAUCUUCCAAACCAUACUAUGAAAUAGAUAUUACUAUAUAAAUUUUACAGAUGAGGAAGUUUGAGAUACAACAACAUUCAGAAACUUGUUUAGAAGGGGCAAUAUAGGAGUAAGGGGUUAAAGAGAUAUAAACUACUAUGUAUAAAAUAAGCUACAAGGAUAUAUUGUACACCAUGGGAAAUAUAGACAAUAUUUUAUAAAAAUAUAAAUGGAGUAUAACCUCUAAAAUAUGUGAGUCACUAUAUUAGACACUUGUAACAAAUAAUAUUGUAUAUCAACCACACUUCAAUUUAAAAAACUUUAAAAACAGAAAAGAAAUUUGUCCAAAACCUGCCAUCCUUUAAGUAACAGAAUAGGUAGUCAAGCCUACGUCUCCACAGCUCCAGAAUAUAAUCUUAAAACUCGUA
rnacentral:lncRNA from 1 species